rnacentral:lncRNA from 1 species
CUUGCAUACUUGUAGGUGUCUUUGCAUGUAGGAGUGAGACUCUUCAUUGGCAAUGCGAUGUUUCUCACCACAAAGCCCAUCUGAUAUAAUUUCUUUACCAUUUGAUGGAAGAAUUUGCUUUCAUUUUGUGUGUGUGUGUGUUUUUUUUUUUUUUAACUACUUGAAUAUCAUAAAGGAUGUAAAAGGUUGGGAGGGCUGUAGGGAUGUAAAGGGGUGUAAAGGUUGGAGGCCGUCUGGGGCAAAGUGAUCACGAGAUGCUAGAUUUCUCUAUCCUUGUUGAACCACAGAGGGGAGUCAGCAGAACUGCCACCUGGGACUUCCGGAGGGCAGACUUCAACCUCUUUAGGACCACAGUUGACAGGGUCCCUUGGGAGGUAGUUUUGGAGAGUGUGAGAGCCCAGAAAGGCUGGGAAUAUUUUAAGGAAAUUGUUUUAAAGGUGCAGGACCUGACCAUCCCCAUGUCAUGGAAGACGAGCCAAUGGGCAAGGAGGCUGGGCUGACUGAACAGAGACCUUUGGCUGGAUCUCAAGAACAAAAGGAAAGUUUAUGGUCUCUGGAAGAGUGGGCAAGCUACUUAUGAGGAUUAGAGUACCUGAAAGGUGUUGACAGUGAGAGCGGGGUAGGUUACUUCUCACUGGUGACAGAUGACAAGACGAGUGGAAAUCGCCUCAAGUUGCACCAAGAUAAGUUUAGGCUGGACAUUAGGAAACACUUCUUUACAGAAAGGGUGGUUAAACACUGGAAUAGGCUCCCCAGGGAGGUGGUUGAGUCACUGUCUCUGGACGUGUUUAAGAGCUGUUUGGAUGUGGUGCUCAGAGUUGUUAGAGUUAGGGUACUAUGGUUAGGCUGUGGUUGGACUUGAUGAUCUGUGAGGUCCUUUCCAACCUGAGUAAUUCUAUGAUUCUAUGAUUGUAUUCAUGUCAUUAACAUGAGCUAAGAUAGUUAACAUCAAAAUUUUGUCCUUUUCAUGAUGAGUCUUGGGAGUGAUAAUCCUAUGGAGUCAUCAUGAGAUCUAUUUUUUUUGCUCUGAACUGACCACCGUGUAUAAUCUCAAUCUUCCAGUGCUGACAUGUCUUGCUGGUAAUUAUUCAUGUUGUAUUUUUCCCCCAAAUACUCUGUCUGAAUACAUCUUCAGGCAAAAUGUGCUUGAACUAAGCUAGAACUAAGAGAAUAAGAC